rnacentral:rRNA from 1 species
UACGAAGGGGGCUAGCGUUGCUCGGAAUCACUGGGCGUAAAGCGCACGUAGGCGGCCUGCUAAGUCGGACGUGAAAUCCCUCGGCUCAACCGGGGAACUGCGUCCGAUACUGGCGAGGCUUGAAUCCGGGAGAGGGAUGUGGAAUUCCAGGUGUAGCGGUGAAAUGCGUAGAUAUCUGGAGGAAUACCGGUGGCGAAGGCGGCAUCCUGGACCGAUAUUGACACUGAUGAGCGAAAGCCAGGGGAGCAAACGGG